rnacentral:rRNA from 1 species
GAUAAACGCUGGCGGCGUGCAUGAGACAUGCAAGUCGAACGAAGGAUCGGGCUUGCUCGAUCCUUAGUGGCGGACGGCUGAGUAACGCGUAGGUGACCUACCCCGAAGUGGGGAAUAACUGCCCGAAAGGGUGGCUAAUACCGCAUGUGGUCGCACGUUCAUUCGUGCGAGUAAAGCCGCAAGGCGCUUCGGGAGGGGCCUGCGUCCGAUUAGCUCGUUGGUGGGGUAAUGGCUUACCAAGGCGACGAUCGGUAGGUGGUCUGAGAGGACGAUCAACCAGACUGGGACUGAGACACGGCCCAGACUCCUACGGGAGGCAGCAGUCGGGAAUUUUGCUCAAUGGGGGAAACCCUGAAGCAGCAACGCCGCGUGAGGGAUGAAGGCCUUCGGGUUGUAAACCUCUUUUGUCAGGGACGAUGAUGACGGUACCUGGCGAAUAAGCCACGGCUAACUACGUG